GAUGAACGCUGGCGGCGUGCCUAAUACAUGCAAGUCGAGCGAACAGACGAGGAGCUUGCUCCUCUGACGUUAGCGGCGGACGGGGGAGUAAAACGUGGAUAACCUACCUAUAAGACUGGGAUAACUUCGGGAAACCGGGGCUAAUACCGGGUAAUAUAUUUAACCGCAUGGUUCAAUAGUGAAAGACGGUUUUGCUGUCACUUAUAGAUGGAUCCGCGCCGCAUUAGCUAGUUGGUAAGGUAACGGCUUACCAAGGCAACGAUGCGUAGCCGACCUGAGAGGGUGAUCGGCCACACUGGAACUGAGACACGGUCCAGACUCCUACGGGAGGCAGCAGUAGGGAAUCUUCCGCAAUGGGCGAAAGCCUGACGGAGCAACGCCGCGUGAGUGAUGAAGGUCUUCGGAUCGUAAAACUCUGUUAUUAGGGAAGAACAAAUGUGUAAGUAACUAUGCACGUCUUGACGGUACCUAAUCAGAAAGCCACGGCUAACUACGUG
rnacentral:rRNA from 1 species